AUGGGGUUCAUUUUUAUGGGUUUUGGUAUUAGGGGGUUAAUUUCUGUAGGGUUUGUUUUUAUGGGGUUUGUUUUAGGGUUGUUUCUAUAGGGUUUGGUUUUAUAGGGUUAAUUUUUAUAGGUUCGUUUCUAUAGGGUUAAUUUUUAUAGGGUUUGGUAUUAUGGGGUUAAUUUUUAUGGGUUCGGUAUUAUAGGGUUAAUUUCUUUAGGGUUUGUUUUUAUGGGUUUUUUUAAGGUUGUUUCCAUAGGGUUUGGUAUUAUGGGGUUAAUUUUUAUGGGUUUGGUUUUAUGGGGUUAAUUUUACAGGCUUUGGUAUUAUAGGGUUAAUUUUCAUAGGUUUUGGUUUUAUAGGGUUAAUUUCUAUAGGAUUUGUUUUUAUGUGGUUUUUUAAGGUUGUUUCUAUAGGGUUUGGUAUUAUAGGAUUAAUUUUAUGGGUUCGUUUCUGUAGGGUUUGGUUUUAUGGGGUUAAUUUUUUUAGGUUUGUUUUUAUGGGGUUAAUUUUUAUAGCGUUUGGUAUUAUAGGGUUAAUUUCUACAGGAUUUGUUUUUAUGAGGUUUUUUAGGGUUGUUUCUACAGGGUUUGGUAUUAUAGGGUUAAUUUCUGUAGGGUUUAGUUUUAUGGGGUUAAUUUUUAUGGGUUUUGGUUUUAUAGGGUUAAUUUCUAUAGGGUUUGUUUUUAUGGGGUUAAUUUUUAUGGGUUUGGUUUUAUAGGGUAAUUUCUAUAGGGUUUGUUUUUGGGUAUUUUUAGGGUUUUUUCUAUAGGGUUUGGUUUUAUAGGGUUAAUUUUUAUGGGUUUUGGUUUAAUAGGGUUAAUUUCUAUAGAGGUUUUUAAAUGGGCUUUUAUAGGGUUAAUUUCUAUAGGGUUUGGUAUUAUGGGGUUAAUUUUCUGGGUUCGUUUUUAUAGGUUUUGGUAUUACAGGGUUAAUUUUCUGGGUUGGUUUUAAUGGGUUAAUUUAUCGGUUAAUUUAUCGGUUAAUUGAAUAGGAAAAUUACAGGGUUCAUUUUCCGGGUUCACUUUUAUAGGUGAAUUUAGAGGUUAAUUUAUCGGUUAAUUUAAUAGGAAAAUUACCGGGUUAAUUUUCGGGGCUCGUUUGUGCAGGGUCGGUGCCGGCGGCGCCGCGCACGGACAGACGGACAAAGGGACAGACGGACAAAGGACAAAGGGACAAAG
rnacentral:lncRNA from 1 species